AUUGAACGCUGGCGGCAGGCCUCACACAUGCAAGUCGAACGAGUGGCGGACGGGUGAGUAAUGUCUGGGAAACUGCCCGAUGGAGGGGGAUAACUACUGGAAACGGUAGCUAAUACCGCAUACCAUCGGAUGUGCCCAGAUGGGAUUAGCUAGGGGGUGGGGUAACGGCUAACCUAGGAGACGAUCCCUAGCUGGUCUGAGAGGAUGACCAGCCACACUGGAACUGAGACACGGUCCAGACUCCUACGGGAGGCAGCAGUGGGGAAUAUUGCACAAUGGGCGCAAUCCUGAUGCAGCCAUGCCGCGUGUAUGAAGAAGGCCUUCGGGUUGUAAAGUACUUUCAGCGAGGAGGCGUUACUCGAAGAAGAAGCACCGGCUAACUCCGUGCCAGCAGCCGCGGUAAUUC
rnacentral:rRNA from 1 species